ACACCCUCAACGACGCCUGAUG
rnacentral:sRNA from 1 species